rnacentral:pre_miRNA from 15 species
CUCUUUCAAGGGAAAAAGACUGUCCUGUUACUAAGUACUAGUGCCGCAGGAGUACAUUCGACCUCCUGCUGCUCAAGUGCUUAUCAAUGGGCACAGAAUGAUUUCAUCAACCGGCG